rnacentral:lncRNA from 1 species
UACUGCUGGUAAGUAUGGUAUGAAGCUCUCACUGAUGCUAAACAGCUGCACAAGCAUCCGACCUCUAUGGAUGGUCCACACGAAGCCUCUCGGACCGAUUAGCCCUUCGCGGGAGUGCUAGCUCGCACAGUCGAUUUCUGAUGAUAGAUCUGACUUGAUCUCCUUCUUUGAUCAUCUCAAACCUUUUCAAUAUUGAAGAUGGAUUAGAGAAAGAUACUGGAUGGUGGAGAAAAAUUAUAUGAAGACUCUCUUCUUUUUGAUUUUUCUCUCACCCAAAAACUUAGAACAGUUCUAGGUCUCUCACCCAAGAGGAGAACGGUCUCUCCUUUUGUUCGCACUAAGGAGGAAGGAAACCCACCUAAUCCUCACAUCCCAAAAAGAUAUUUUUGACCUUCUUUCUCUCUGGUAUCUCAUGGUGAAAAGCUCUCCUCUUUUGGUGCACAAAAUUAUGGCCUUUUUAUAGU